UGUUUUCAUUUAUCUGUUAGAAAUUGGAAAAAUUGAAGUUAAUAUGAACAAUGACAAGUGGAUUUGUUAAGGGAUGCUUUUGCUAAAGAUUAGAACAAUAAAAGGAAUAACAUAAAGUUAGAAACAAAUGCAUAAAUGGACAGGUGGUUGUUUAUAGAAAAGUUUCUCUAUCUUGACAUUCAAGACACAAAGUUUCAAAUCUAAAGUAUUUAGCAUAUUUAAACAUGAAGGAGCGCUGAUUGCAUCAACUAAUUAGGCUUAGAAAAAUGGAUUCAAGUAGAUAACCGAUUAAAAUUGAGAAGGAAAUUCAUCAACAAAGUUGAAGCCGGUUUUCAAAGUAGAAAAGUCGUUUUGAAAGAGAAACAUUGCAGAUCCACACAAGGAUUACCAAGUUUUACCUUUACAUCAGACAGAAUCUGUCAUUUCCGAGAGGAUUCCUCUUUUUUCUGUUUGCAGAUCCAUCGGAUUGACCAUUUCCUUGGCAAAGCACACACAUGCAUCGGCUUCAGGGACCUGCAAAGAGCAUACAAGCAUCAGACACAUAAUCGGACACAUGCAUGAAGGCAAGGUUGAUUUCAUAUGACCUCGGAUGUCAUGAAAUCAGAUGACAGAGCAAGGACGGAUUUUUACCUCGCUGGAUUUGCAGCCAUUUUCAUGGUUGCCGUUCGAAUGGAGUAAGGAGAGUGAUAUUUCUCCAACCUUGGCGUCGCCGGUUUCGGAUCCGAAUUCCAGCCAUCUGUAGAACCAAGGAGAAGAGAAACAAAAUCGCAUCUUCGCCAGUGUGGCCGUGCACCAAACAAGAAUUUACAUACUAACAAAAAUUUCAGCAGCAAUAAAAACAAUAAAAUUAUUCAUUAUUCAUCAUUCGUGACCUCAGACAUUUUUUCCUCUCAAACCAACAAAUAAGUAAGAUUCAACAAUCCAUUGUUGAUUCCAUUUUUUCCUCUCAAGCCAUGUAUAACCUGUGUGAAAACGGGUCAAACUCCAAGCAAUGAUCACAACCAAACCCUAUGAUUUU
rnacentral:lncRNA from 1 species